ensembl:lncRNA
GGGUGUACCAAGCGCUUCCGUGUGAGUGAGCUGGGGACCGAACCCAGGGCCUUGCGCUUGCUAGGCAAGCGCUCUACCACUGAGCUAAAUCCCCAACCCCUCAGGAAGAACGUUUAAAAGGAGAUUCAGUACUGUGUGAACAUAUGCAUUUGGGGUGAAAGAAACAAAUUUGGAUGCCAUGAUUAGAAUUGCUCUUACCACAGUUGGGUAGACCAGAUGCCUAUCCGGGGCGCCUUAGGACCUGAUCCUGGGCUUUAUGCAUGCCAGGUUCCAGGGACCAAGCUUCGGCUUGACGACAAGCACCUUUAAUCCACCGAGGCUUCUUGCUGGCCCAGACAUCAUAUACUUUAUAGUUUUCCCUUUUUAAAAG